AGUGAACGCUGGCGGUAGGCCUAACACAUGCAAGUCGAACGGCAGCACAGGAGAGCUUGCUCUCUGGGUGGCGAGUGGCGGACGGGUGAGGAAUACAUCGGAAUCUACUUUUUCGGGGGGGAUAACGUAGGGAAACUUACGCUAAUACCGCAUACGACCUACGGGUGAAAGCAGGGGAUCUUCGGACCUUGCGCGAUUGAAUGAGCCGAUGUCGGAUUAGCUAGUUGGCGGGGUAAAGGCCCACCAAGGCGACGAUCCGUAGCUGGUCUGGAGGGAGGAGCAGCCACACUGGAACUGAGACACGGUCCAGACUCCUACGGGAGGCAGCAGUGGGGAAUAUUGGACAAUGGGCGCAAGCCUGAUCCAGCCAUACCGCGUGGGUGAAGAAGGCCUUCGGGUUGUAAAGCCCUUUUGUUGGGAAAGAAAUCCAGCUGGUUAAUACCCGGUUGAGAUGACGGUACCCAAAGAAUAAGCACCGGCUAACUUCGUGCCAGCAGCCGCCGUAA
rnacentral:rRNA from 1 species